AAAUAAGAUAGUGAUGAACAAUAUAUACACAAUGUAUAACUGAAAGCAGUCCAUAAUUCCUUCUGGACUACUUCUACUGCAGCCUAAAAGUUCAAGCACAUAUCUCCUUCUGCACAUUCAGAAAUCUAUACAUUUUAGUUAUUUCUUAAAAAGACAUUAAAAUGACUUAGAAUAUAAUCUAAAUGACGUGGAACUACAUCCUUGAAGUUUAUCACCCCAAACUACAGUAUAUUUAUAAAGGAUAACAAAUCAUGUUUUAAAGUGAUUUAUUUUCACAAGAGAUAUCUGGGUGAUAAAAAUAGAUGAGAAAACAGGAAAUCUCACUCAUAUUUCUGAUUUUACAAAUUACUGUCACGAUGAGUCUUGGAAACUAUUGCAGGAUUAUGGUUGUAGGAUUUAUGAUGACUGCACUUUUGGUUACAAACCUUAAUUUAAUAAGCAACAACUCUUGGUCUAAAGCAUAGCCAUGAAUAAGAUCUUAUUUAAGAGUCUUCACUAAUACAUGGAGCACUGGACAGGAUGUGAACGUCAUUUUCUGGUAGUUGCAUAGACAGUUUACAAUGUACCUCAUUUGUAUCUCAUUGUCUGAAAAUAAAAAGUACUUUAAUAUAGAAUAUUGCUAGAUUGUGCUUUAAAAUAUUACCUAUUACUUAAAAUAAGUAAAGUGAAAAGAAGGAACCUGGUGUACCCUGUUAGGUCUAGGCUUAAGAAAGGAAACUGCAGUAAAAGCUUCUUAUUUUCUCAGAUCCCAAAUGACCAGAAGAUAGUUCUAACCAGCAGGGGGAGAUGAGGAGGAGAGUAGUAAGACAAAGAACAGGCUAUAGGCAGGAAAAGCAGUUAUAAUUAUAGCCGGGAACACAGAAUUUGUUAAAGGAAGUCUACUGUAUAAUUAUAUUUGAAAAUUUAGCAAGAUGCCCAGAGGCUGACUCGCAGCUGUCAGGAACUGGUAACUCUACUUCUGUUCAUGCAUCGACCACUUCGGCUACUAAAUUCACUAUCUAGACGUUACUAGAACUGCCAUUUAGAGUAAAGGGAGAGAUCUUCUCAUAAGACUUUUUUUUUUUUCUAUAAUGGAUGAAGGCAUCCACUUCAACAAGUGACCUUCUCUUUUAGCUUCCUUUUGAGACCCAGAUCUCAGACUCUCUGGCCUCCCUCCUCUGAGAACCCAGACAUUUCCAUAGCAAAGCUGUGAUCAAGAUGCAGAUCUCAGAAUACCCGUUGCGGCUCAGUGGUCACGAAUCCAACUAGUAUCCAUGAGGAUGCAGGUUUGAUCCCUGGCCUCCUCAGUGGGUUAUGGAUCAUGCGUUACCAUGAGCUGUGGUGUAGGUCACAAACUUGGCUCAGACUCCGUAUUGCUGUGGCUGUGGUGUAGCUGGCAGCCAUAGCUCCGAUUCAACCACUCGCCUGGGAACUUCCUUAUGCCACAGUUGCAGCCCUAAAAAACUCCCCCCAGCCAAAACAAAAAAGAUAAAAAAAGAUGCAGAGCUCUUCCCUCAACUCUGACUAGAUCAUGAAGCUAUGUGACAAUCACCUAAAGUCCAAUUCAGCCAGCUCACAACAAAAUUCACUUCCCUCUCUCCUCUCUUCUUGUCUGGAAUCUGUACUUUCCUUCCCCCCAUUCCUUCCAGCGGCACCAGCAUUCUCUCAGUAAAGCAUGAAAACUCAGUAUUUACCUUUGUUUUCACCUUCCUGAUCUCCCACCCUUUAUUACUUCAAUGUAUCAAAUAGCCUAAAUUUUUAGUAAAAUUCAUCACAAAAGAUAUCAACACCUUGAUUUUGGACUUUUAGCCUCUAGAACUGAGAUAAUAAGUCUCUACUGUUUUAAACCACCCAGAUUUUGAUCCUUUGUUACUGCAGCACUAGGAAACUAAUUUAACACUCCAAGCACUGGCUGGACUCAAACAGCUAUAACCCUCCACCUCCAAACCUGUGCCUUACCUCUAAAUAGCAUCCCACCCAGCUUCCCAUGUAGACUCUUAUGCAUCAUCCUUGCUAUUCCAUACCUAUCAAUUAUCGAGACCUAUUUCUUAAAUAUUGUCUAUCUCUUAAACAUAAGGUGUAAUGGAAUCACUUUGCGGUACACCUAAAACACAACAUUUUAAAUCAACUAUACUCAAAUUAAAAACAAAAAGAAAUUAAUGAACAAGAAGUGGAAUUUUUGAGUAGCCUGCUCUGACAUUCACUACUAAAGAAUCACUUGGUGCUCCAUAGAGAACAAAUUUGUUGGUGAGGGAGGCUGGUAUAAAAAGAAAUCAGCUAAGAGACUUCUACAGAGUCUAGGUGAGAGAGAAUGGUGGCUUGCAAUGGGGUAGAAGUAGUAUAAAUACUUGGAGUAUGAUAAUUAUGAUGGAUAUACACAUAUAGAUAUGCACAUGAUGAAAUAAGACAUUUUUAAUUUAUCAGCUUAAUAAAUUUUAACAGUAAUAUAAUAAAGCAAUAAUUUCAAAUGGGUAAUAUAAUUUUUACUUCUCUCCUACUCAUAAAGAAAAAUUCACAAAGAGGGCAGGGAAGGGUUGGGAAGAACACUCUACACAAGCCAAAUGGAGUUCCUUAAAGAAAAGAAAACAAUAUGUCACACUUUCGAAUUUAGUCUCAGGCUUCAAAGCAGGGCUUUCACACAGUGGCUCUGUAUUUACAAAAGUACCGCCCUCUUUACACCUGAUUUAAAGUUGCUGGAGGAAUUUUAUUCCUUUUUUUCCAGAGGGAUCGUCUUUAAUGCAUGUAUCCACUGAUGUAAUUCUGAAGUCUAAGUUGCUGGCUUAACAUGCAAAGUGGUAAAUGUGUUAUAAUGGUGACUUACGGUACAGCACCUAUGAAUUUCAUAUUCCUUUUAAACUUCAUUCUACAAAGCAAUUUCCACCUUCUGACUAAAGAAAUGAACAUUCAUAUUUUAUACUAUGUUCAUAUACAAAAUUUUCAUUUUAUUACAGUACUCCUGAUGCUAUCAGAUUGACUCAACAACUCACUAACAAUGAAAAAAAUGGUAACAUUACUAUUCUUAGAAUUGCUGUAUGUAAUUUUCCUUUUUAAUAAAAAUCAAGAAUUUUUUAUCUUUCCUUUUUAAAAAUUGGAUGAAGUUCUUAUUCAAUUACUUUUAUUAAAAGUAAAACUGAGUUAUCUGAUUCAUUUGAAUUUUUUUAAAAAAUUUACCUUUUUAAUUGAGAUAUAAUUGACAUAUAACAUUAUAUUAAUUUUAGGUAUACCAAAUUAUCCAACUUUAAUAUAUAUUUUUUAAUUUUUAUUUUUUAUUGAAGUAUAGUUAAUGAACAAGAUUAUAUAAGUUUCAGGUAAACAAUAUAGUAAUUCACAAUUUUUAAAGGUUAUAUUCCAUUUAUAGUUAUUAUAAAAUAUUGGCUAUAUUCCCUGCAUUGUACAAUAUAUCCUUGUAGCUUAUUUUACACAUAGUGAUAUUAGUAUAUACUGCAAAAUGAUUACAAUUAGUCUAGUUAAUAUCCAUUAGCACACACAGUUACAACUGUUUUUCUUGUGUUGAGAACUUCUUAGAUCUACUCCCUUAGCAACUUUCAAAUACACCAUACUAUAUUAUUAACUAUAAAGUCACCAUGCUAUACCUAAAGGAUUCUUAAAUAUUAUUUAAAUCUCUUUAUAUAUCUAAAAUUCAUAAACAUUUUUAUUUAAAAAUUGAACACUCAAAAAAGUGACACAUUUUCAAUUCUAAAAAAAUGAGUUUACAAAAAUAAUAAGAAUGUUUAUAAGUACAUAUGGCUUUGUUAUCACCAAGCAUCCCAGAAUACAGACACUCCAAUUCCCAAA
ensembl:lncRNA